rnacentral:rRNA from 1 species
GACGUCGGGCGCGAGCGUUGUCCGGAUUUAUUGGGCGUAAAGAGCUCGUCGGCGGCUUGUCGCGUCGACCGUGAAAACUUGGGGCUCAACCCCAAGCCUGCGGUCGAUACGGGCAGGCUAGAGUUCGGUAGGGGAGACUGGAAUUCCUGGUGUAGCGGUGAAAUGCGCAGAUAUCAGGAGGAACACCGGUGGCGAAGGCGGGUCUCUGGGCCGACACUGACGCUGAGGAGCGAAAGCGUGGGGAGCGAACAGG